ensembl:lncRNA
CUUUUGUUUCAAAUAACACUUUUCAGCUGAUCCAGCUCUUUAGUAAUUGAUUUGAUAUUUUAAAAAAAAUUGAAAGUUUCUUUCUUCUUUUGCCCUCUCAGGUUUUUCAGCUAACUUCACUUUUAGGGUCUAAUUUUUGCCUUUUACUGCACGAAGCACUUUAAAAAUCUUCACAGUGGAGAUAAUUGCUUUGUUUCAUGUUCUGCCAACAGUUUCCUGCCUCAUAAAUGACUGUGUUCUUUAUUCACCCCUAAAUAUUUUUACACUUUAGUCAGAAAACAUUAAUAAUGCAGAAAUGUGGGAGGGAGUGCAUGUUUUGUCAUCCUGAGUACAUGCAUGCUUGCAUUUGUCGUUGGUGUCGGGCAGAGGGGGCGCCCUGGCCGCUGCCCCCUGCCCAGCAAGGAGACAGUUUGGCGGCCAUCCAGGACCAAAAGCAGCUAUGAGAGGUCCCAAAGAGUGACCUGGAGACCUGCCUGUCGCUCCGCAUCAGCAUCAAGCGCACUCGGGUGCCAGGGGGUUCAGUGAAGGGUGGCGAUCAGUGUGGCGGCCUGCGAGUCUGUGAGCAGGGAGGAUCCUCAGUUUUUGUUUCUCCUCAUGAUCAAAGCAGUGCAUCAUCAGGAAGCAGAACAUGAAACCGUCUCCAAGCUGAUGCUGCAACACUCAAAUUUGCUGUUGUAUGGAAACACAGCUGACCCUCCUGGCCUUUUUGUGUUCCUGCUAAACCAACCAAUCACCCCAUCUGUCCAUCAAUCCAGCAUCCUUCAACUGCUGACGCUUCUUCUCCUUUAGGUUAGGGGCUGCACCGCAGCUGGAACUGAACGUAAACUCAGAGACUAUAUCCUCUAUAUAAGAGAUCUGAUCAGCAAAGAACCGGUUCUCACCCAUUUCUGCUCUCAUGAACAAUAAAUUCUCUCAUUCAGGUGAUGAAUUUGUUUGAGGAUUUUGCACAGGGACAUUCAUCAGGCGCACUGGGACCACAGGGACCCAUUUUAAAGCCUAAAGGUUUUCCUUUGUUUAUUUAUCUUUAAAAAAAACAAAAAAUGUUCUUGGAGAAUAUUAAUCGGAGGAAAAAACAUGUGAAGUGAUGAAAGCUGUGGCUGACACAAAGGAAUAAUAAAAGCUACUGUAACCCUCUGAAAUGCCUAAUGAUGCAUAUAUGCAUCAAACCACUUUAGCUACAAACUUACCUUCAUUUAGCAUCUGUAUGAAAGCAAAAAUGUAAGUGAAUGUCUUUUUUUAUUGCUGGAAACAAAUUUAAAGGUCAAGAGGUCAAACUUUUUACAUUUGAAAAAAUCCCCGAAUUUGAUUUCUUUAUUCUGUUUCCUUGUAUUGAACCAAAUCUGCUCAGAUUGAUCAUCCAGUAAAACAUUUUCUGCGAGAAUGCACGACAAUUCAUCUUUUAGCUUUUCCAUGCCAAUAUCAGCUUUAUGGAAUCAAAGGGCGGCUGCACUGACAUCAACAGGUUACAGUGAAGAAAAGGAAAAUUAUUUAAACAUUUUUAAGCUUUGGUGAGAGUUUCUCCUCUUCGUGGCGUCAAGAUGAAUUUUCUGUUUUCCAACAAUCAAACCUUGCAUCUUUUAUAGUCCCGCCCAUUUUCUCAUGUUCCCAUUCUGAGCAUUUGCUUUCACACUUCUUUCACACUGUUUUUAUCCUAAACAAAAGAACUUAAAAAAAGAUUUUAAAAAACAAAAAACUGGUCUCCAUUUAAAAUC